UGCGUAGACGGUAUGUUAAGUUUGUUGUUAAAGACUCUAGCCUAACUGGAGGGUUGCAAUGAAAACUGGCGUGCUAGAGGGUGAGAGAGAGAAGUGGAAUUCCUGGAGUAGCGGUAAAAUGCGUGGAUCUCAGGAGGAACACCAAUGGCGAAGGCAGCUUCUUGGCUCAUUUCUGACGUUGAGGCACGAAAGCGUGGGAGGCAAACA
rnacentral:rRNA from 1 species